AGCCGCACCGCACCAGACAGCUGCUCACGUCCAAACAUUUCCCACAAAUCCCCUCGAACCCUAGCCGCCAUGUCCUCCCCUCGAACCCUAGCCACUCCUGCCUUCCCCUCGAGCGUAAGCAAUGGCCGAUCCAGACACCGGCCGCGCAACGCGAGUAGCGGCCCGAUCGAUCCAGCCACCGGCGGCGCGUCCCCUCGAGCGCAAGCAGCAGCCGAGCCAGCCACCGGCAGCGCGUCCCCUCGAGCGCAAGCAGCGACCGAUCCAACCAUCGGCGGUGCGGCGCGAGCAGCGGGCCAUUGAUCCAACCACCGGUGGCGCGGCGCGAGCAGGGGCCCGAUCGAUCCAACCACCGGUGACGCGACGCGAGCAGCGGCCCAAUCGAUCCAGCCAUCGGCAGGGCGGCACGAGCAACGGCUCGGUCGAUCCAACCACUUGCAGGGCGGGGCGAGCAACGGACGGUCCAACCACCGAGGGGCGGCGCAAGCAGAUCUUCCUGCUGUCCAUCGCUCCUGAGAAGAACGACGGGUCGACAGCCACAGGACCCUCCUGCCUCCUGCAGCUGCAAUAUGUUCUUUUUGGUUGGUUCAGUUCUGAAUAAAUAAUGUUAAUUGCUGGAGCAGAAGCAAUAAAGAUUGAAGUUUAGAAGUUGGAGGAUUGCGGUAAUAGUGCUACUAGCAGAUAUGGAAACAUGGAGUGUACAUUUCCAGCUAUAAACGAUCCAGCUCAGUUGGUGGUUUCACAUGCAAAGUUGAGUAAGAUGUUCUAAAGCACCCAGAAGAAGUAGAGGACAGGACAGGAGGAGGGAACAAGAAGCUUUGUUUAUCAUUGAUGUUAUAUGUGAUCAACAAAAACUUGUGCUUGUCAUCCAAUCUUUGUCGAACUAUGCUGAUGUGUGGUUAUGCACUUGUUGGGCCCUUUUGUUGUGCACCUGUACUUGUAGAACUAUUUUUUUUGCACUUGUUGGGCUUUGAACUUUUAUGUGUAGAGGAGUCGAUGGAUGAUGUAUUGUAAUUCAUGUGAUGUGUUACUGAAAUGAAAUAUAUACAACUAAUUUA